CCUACGGGAGGCAGCAGUAGGGAAUCUUCCGCAAUGGACGAAAGUCUGACGGAGCAACGCCGCGUGAACGAUGAAGGCCUUCGGGUCGUAAAGUUCUGUUGUUAGGGAAGAACAAGUGCUAGUUGAAUAAGCUGGCACCUUGACGGUACCUAACCAGAAAGCCACGGCUAACUACGUGCCAGCAGCCGCGGUAAUACGUAGGUGGCAAGCGUUGUCCGGAAUUAUUGGGCGUAAAGCGCGCGCAGGCGGUUUCUUAAGUCUGAUGUGAAAGCCCCCGGCUCAACCGGGGAGGGUCAUUGGAAACUGGGAAACUUGAGUGCAGAAGAGGAAAGUGGAAUUCCAAGUGUAGCGGUGAAAUGCGUAGAGAUUUGGAGGAACACCAGUGGCGAAGGCGACUUUCUGGUCUGUAACUGACGCUGAGGCGCGAAAGCGUGGGGAGCAAACAGGAUUAGAUACCCUGGUAGUCCACGCUGUAAACGAUGAGUGCUAAGUGUUAGAGGGUUUCCGCCCUUUAGUGCUGAAGUUAACGCAUUAAGCACUCCGCCUGGGGAUACGGUCGCAAGACUGAAACUCAAAGGAUUGACGGCUGNGAGNGCGAGCGACGACGAGGGAGAG
rnacentral:rRNA from 1 species